rnacentral:rRNA from 1 species
GAUGAACGCUGGCGGCGUGCCUAAUACAUGCAAGUAGAACGCUGAAGGAGGAGCUUGCUCUUCUGGAUGAGUUGCGAACGGGUGAGUAACGCGUAGGUAACCUGCCUGGUAGCGGGGGAUAACUAUUGGAAACGAUAGCUAAUACCGCAUGACAACAGUUAUUGCAUGAUAACUGUUUAAAAGGGGCAACUGCUCCACUACCAGAUGGACCUGCGUUGUAUUAGCUAGUUGGUGAGGUAACGGCUCACCAAGGCGACGAUACAUAGCCGACCUGAGAGGGUGAUCGGCCACACUGGGACUGAGACACGGCCCAGACUCCUACGGGAGGCAGCAGUAGGGAAUCUUCGGCAAUGGACGGAAGGCUGACCGAGCAACGCCGCGGGAGUGAAGAAGGUUUUCGGAUCGUAAAGCUCUGUUGUAAGAGAAGAACGAGUGUGGGAGUGGAAAGUUCACACUGUGACGGUAUCUUACCAGAAAGGGACGGCUAACUACGUG